GUGGGGGAUAUUGCACAAUGGGGGAAACCCUGAUGCAGCAACGCCGCGUGAGGGAAGAAGGUUUUCGGAUUGUAAACCUCUGUCCUUGGUGAAGAUAAUGACGGUAGCCAAGGAGGAAGCUCCGGCUAACUACGUGCCAGCAGCCGCGGUAAUACGUAGGGAGCGAGCGUUGUCCGGAAUUACUGGGUGUAAAGGGUGCGUAGGCGGCAAAUCAAGUCAGAUGUGAAAUACCGAGGCUUAACCUCGGAGCUGCAUUUGAAACUGAAUUGCUUGAGUGAAGUAGAGGCAAGCGGAAUUCCCGGUGUAGCGGUGAAAUGCGUAGAGAUCGGGAGGAACACCAGUGGCGAAGGCGGCUUGCUAGGCUUCAACUGACGCUGAGGCACGAAAGCGUGGGUAGCAAACAGGAUUAGAAACCCUAGUAGUCC
rnacentral:rRNA from 1 species